rnacentral:rRNA from 1 species
GAUGAACGCUGGCGGCGUGCCUAAUACAUGCAAGUCGAGCGAACAGACGAGGAGCUUGCUCCUCUGACGUUAGCGGCGGACGGGUGAGUAACACGUGGAUAACCUACCUAUAAGACUGGGAUAACUUCGGGAAGCCGGAGCUAAUACCGGAUAAUAUAUUGAACCGCAUGGUUCAAUAGAGAAAGACGGUUUUGCUGUCACUUAUAGAUGGAUCCGCGCCGCAUUAGCUAGUUGGUAAGGUAACGGCUUACCAAGGCGACGAUGCGUAGCCGACCUGAGAGGGUGAUCGGCCACACUGGAACUGAGACACGGUCCAGACUCCUACGGGAGGCAGCAGUAGGGAAUCUUCCGCAAUGGGCGAAAGCCUGACGGAGCAACGCCGCGUGAGUGAUGAAGGUCUUCGGAUCGUAAAACUCUGUUAUUAGGGAAGAACAAAUGUGUAAGUAACUAUGCACGUCUUGACGGUACCUAAUCAGAAAGCCACGGCUAACUACGUG